AUAUGGAGGAUGCGAGCGUUAUCCGGAUUUAUUGGGUUUAAAGGGAGCGUAGGUGGGAUAUUAAGUCAGCUGUGAAAGUUUGGGGCUCAACCUUAAAAUUGCAGUUGAUACUGGUUUACUUGAGUACGGUACAGGUGGGCGGAAUUCGUGGUGUAGCGGUGUAAUGCUUAGAUAUCACGAAGAACUCCGAUCGCGAAGGCAGCUCACCGGGCCGGAACUGACACUGAUGCUCGAAAGUGCGGGUAUCAAACAGGAUUAGAUACCCUGGUAGUCCGCACAGUAAACGAUGAAUACUCGCUGUUUGCGAUACACGGUAAGCGGCCAAGCGAAAGCGUUAAGUAUUCCACCUGGGGAGUACGCCGGCAACGGUGAAACUUAAAGGAAUUGACGGGG
rnacentral:rRNA from 1 species